AGGGCAAGUCUGGUGCCAGCAGCCGCGGUAAUUCCAGCUCUCAAAAUGCAUAGAAUUAUUGCUGCGGUUAAAAAGCUCGUAGUUGGAUCUGUGCUAGCCGUCCGGUGCACACUUUGUGUGUUACUGGUUCGGUUGGCUUUUCUGCCGGUCUCUCCCCGGCGUUGGCCUUAACCGGUCGGCGUCGGUGGGCUGGCGAGUUUACUUUGAACAAAUCAGAGUGCUUCAAACAGGCGUUUCGCUUGAAUGUUCGUGCAUGGAAUAAUAGAAGAGGAUUUCGGUCCGAUUUUAUUGGUUUUGCUGACCGAGAUAAUGGUUAACAGAGACAAACGGGGCCAUUCGUAUUGCUACGUGAGAGGUGAAAUUCUUGGACCGUAGCAAGACGGACUACAGCGAAAGCAUUUGGCAAGAAUGUCUUCAUUAAUCAAGAACGAAAGUCAGAGGUUCGAAGGCGAUCAGAUACCGCCCUAGUUCUGACCGUAAACGAUGCCAACUAGCGAUCCGCCGGCGGAUUUAUUCGCCCUGGUGGGGAGCUUCCCGGAAACGAAAGUCUUCCGGUUCCGGGGGAAGUAUGGUUGCAAAGCUGAAACUUA
rnacentral:rRNA from 1 species